AUACGGAAGGUCCGGGCGUUAUCCGGAUUUAUUGGGUUUAAAGGGAGCGCAGAAGGAGAUGCAAGCGUGACGUCAAAUUUCGGGGCUCAACCCCGUCUAGCGUCGAGAACUGCGUCCCUUGGUUGAGGGAAGGGGAGGAGGAACUAGUGGUGUAGCGGUGAAAUGCAUAUAUAUCACGAAUAACUCCGAUCUCGAAGGCAUCCCUCCUCCCCCUCAACGACGCUCAUGCUCGACGGUGCGCGUAUCAAACAGGAUUAUAUGCCCUUGUAGUCCGCACAGUAAACAAUGAACGCCCGCUGUUGCGCCUGUAUGGCUGAGCCGCCAAGCGAAAGCGUUAAGUAUCCCACCUGGGGAGUACGCCGGCAACCGUGAAAUUCAAAGGAAUUGACGUG
rnacentral:rRNA from 1 species